rnacentral:rRNA from 1 species
UACGUAGGGUGCGAGCGUUGUCCGGAAUUAUUGGGCGUAAAGAGCUCGUAGGCGGUGUGUCGCGUCGGCCGUGAAAACCUGCAGCUUAACUGUGGGCUUGCGGUCGAUACGGGCAUCACUGGAGUUCGGCAGGGGAGACUGGAAUUCCUGGUGUAGCGGUGAAAUGCGCAGAUAUCAGGAGGAACACCGGUGGCGAAGGCGGGUCUCUGGGCCGAUACUGACGCUGAGGAGCGACAGCGUGGGGAGCGAACAGG